AGCAGCCGCGGUAAUUCCAGCUCCAAUAGCGUAUAUUAAAGUUGUUGCAGUUAAAAAGCUCGUAGUUGAAUUUCGGGAUUGACGUGAUGGUCGUGCCUUACGGGGUAUGAACUGUUGCUGUUGAUUUCUCACCUUCUGGAGAAACUUGAUGUCCUUAAUUGGGUGUCUUGCGGAUCCAGGACCUUUACCUUGAAAAAAUUAGAGUGUUUAAAGCAGGCAUUUUUGCUCGAAUACAUUAGCAUGGAAUAAUAGAAUAGGACGGCAUGGUUCUAUUUUGUUGGUUUCUAGGAUCACCGUAAUGAUUAAUAGGGAUAGUUGGGGGCAUUAGUAUUCAAUUGUCAGAGGUGAAAUUCUUGGAUUAUUGAAGACUAACUACUGCGAAAGCAUUUGCCAAGGAUGUUUUCAUUAAUCAAGAACGAAAGUUAGGGGAUCGAAGACGAUCAGAUACCGUCGUAGUCUUAACCAUAAACUAUGCCGACUAGGAAUCAGACGAUGUUAAUUUUUUAAUGACUCGUUUGGC
rnacentral:misc_RNA from 1 species